UACCAGCACCCCGAGUGGUCGGGACGUUUAUUGGGCCUAAAGCAUCCGUAGCCGGUUCUACAAGUCUUCCGUUAAAUCCAACUGCUUAACAGGUGGGCUGCGGAAGAUACUAUAGAGCUAGGAGGCGGGAGAGGCAAGCGGUACUUUAUGGGUAGGGGUAAAAUCCGUUGAUCCAUAGAAGACCACCAGUGGCGAAGGCGGCUUGCCAGAACGCGCUCGACGGUGAGGGAUGAAAGCUGGGGGAGCAAACCGG
rnacentral:rRNA from 1 species